AGUUUGGCUCGCUUACAUCUUUACUUUAAUACGAUUGAGAAUCUGUGUUCGGUGUCUGAUCUGUGUAAGAUCUCACAUCAGUUCACGGUUUCUGAUCUGUAGAAGAGCUCAGAGCAGCGCGCGACUUCACAACAGCGCGAGAUGAAAUGAUUCAGCACAAGUUCAGAAGUUUCAGGCCCGCUAGCGUCGAUGGACAACAAACAUAACCUGUUAAAGUUUGGCAUUUUAAUUUUAAAACCUAAUAUUGCUUGAGUGAAAGAAAAAGUUUCUUCUAAAAAACAAUAUUUAAGAUGAAAAUCUAAGUUUGCAGGUUCAAUGUACACACGUCCACCCCUGAGUGGAGCUCCGUCACAGAAAGUGUCUUGAAGCAAAGUCAUCGCUUUCCCAUUACUGUGAGUUUGUUAAAACAACAUUAUAUCAGCGAGACAAAGUGAGAUUUGUAAUAUUUAAACAAAUGUUUGACGGUUCGGAAUAUAACCUGUGAAAGUUUGGCAUUUUAAUUUUAAAACCUACUAUUGCUUGAGUGAAAGAAAAAGUUUCUUCUAAAAAACAAUAUUUAAGAUGAAAAUCUAAGUUUGCAGGUUCAAUGUACACACGUCCACCCCUGAGAGGAGCUCCGUCACAGAAAGUGUCUUGAAGCAAAGUCAUCGCUUCAACCGCUAUGAAAUGAUUUUGCACAAGUUCAGAAGUUUCAGGCCCGCUAGCGUCGAUGGACAACAAAUAUAACCUGUUAAAGUUUGGCAUUUUAAUUUUAAAACCUACUAUUGCUUGAGUGAAAGAAAAAGUUUCUUCUAAAAAACAAUAUUUAAGAUGAAAAUCUAAGUUUGCAGGUUCAAUGUACACACGUCCACCCCUGAGUGGAGCUCCGUCACAGAAAGUGUCUUGAAGCAAAGUCAUCGCUUUCCCAUUACUGUGAGUUUGUUAAAACAACAUUAUAUCAGCGAGACAAAGUGAGAUUUGUAAUAUUUAAACAAAUGUUUGACGGUUCGGAAUAUAACCUGUGAAAGUUUGGCAUUUUAAUUUUAAAACCUACUAUUGCUUGAGUGAAAGAAAAAGUUUCUUCUAAAAAACAAUAUUUAAGAUGAAAAUCUAAGUUUGCAGGUUCAAUGUACACACGUCCACCCCUGAGAGGAGCUCCGUCACAGAAAGUGUCUUGAAGCAAAGUCAUCGCUUCAACCGCUAUGAAAUGAUUUUGCACAAGUUCAGAAGUUUCAGGCCCGCUAGCGUCGAUGGACAACAAAUAUAACCUGUUAAAGUUUGGCAUUUUAAUUUUAAAACCUACUAUUGCUUGAGUGAAAGAAAAAGUUUCUUCUAAAAAACAAUAUUUAAGAUGAAAAUCUAAGUUUGCAGGUUCAAUGUACACACGUCCACCCCUGAGAGGAGCUCCGUCACAAAAAGUGUCUUGAAGCAAAGUCAUCGCUUCAACCGCUAUGAAAUGAUUCCGCACAAGUUCAGAAGUUUCAGGCCCGCUAGCGUCGAUGGACAACAAAUAUAACCUGUUAAAGUUUGGCAUUUUAAUUUUAAAACCUAAUAUUGCUUGAGUGAAAGAAAAAGUUUCUUCUAAAAAACAAUAUUUAAGAUGAAAAUCUAAGUUUGCAGGUUCAAUGUACACACGUCCACCCCUGAGUGGAGCUCCGUCACAGAGAGUGUCUUGAAGCAAAGUCAUCACUUCAACCGCUGUGAGUUUGUUAAAACAACAUUAUAUCAGCGAGACAAAGUGAGAUUUGUAAUAUUUAAACAAAUGUUUGAGGGUUCGGAAUGUAACCUGUGAAAGUUUGGCAUUUUAAUUUUAAAACCUACUAUUGCUUGAGUGAAAGAAAAAGUUUCUUCUAAAAAACAAUAUUUAAGAUGAAAAUCUAAGUUUGCAGGUUCAAUUUACACACGUCCACCCCUGAGAGGAGCUCCGUCACAAAAAGUGUCUUGAAGCAAAGUCAUCGCUUCAACCGCUUUUGCAGGUUCAAUGUACACACGUCCACCCCUGAGAGGAGCUCCGUCACAAAAAGUGUCUUGAAGCAAAGUCAUCACUUCAACCGCUAUGAAAUGAUUCCACACAAGUUCAGAAGUUUCAGGCCCGCUAGCGUCGAUGGACAACAAAUAUAACCUGUUAAAGUUUGGCAUUUUAAUUUUAAAACCUAAUAUUGCUUGAGUGAAAGAAAAAGUUUCUUCUAAAAAACAAUAUUUAAGAUGAAAAUCUUAGUUUGCAGGUUCAAUGUACACACGUCCACCCCUGAGUGGAGCUCCGUCACAGAAAGUGUCUUGAAGCAAAGUCAUCGCUUUCCCAUUACUAUGAAAAUCUUAGUUUGCAGGUUCAAUGUACACACGUCCACCCCUGAGAGGAUUUCCGUCACAAAAAGUGUCUUGAAGCAAAGUCAUCGCUUCAACCGCUAUGAAAUGAUUCAGCACAAGUUCAGAAGUUUCAGGCCUGUUAGCGUCGAUGAACAACAAACAUAACCUGUUAAAGUUUGG